CAGUCGAGGGGCAGCAUGAACUUAGCUUGCUAAGUUUGAUGGCGACCGGCGCACGGGUGAGUAACACGUAUCCAACCUGCCGAUGACUCGGGGAUAGCCUUUCGAAAGAAAGAUUAAUACCCGAUGGCAUAGUUCUUCCGCAUGGUGGAGCUAUUAAAGAAUUUCGGUCAUCGAUGGGGAUGCGUUCCAUUAGGUUGUUGGCGGGGUAACGGCCCACCAAGCCUUCGAUGGAUAGGGGUUCUGAGAGGAAGGUCCCCCACAUUGGAACUGAGACACGGUCCAAACUCCUACGGGAGGCAGCAGUGAGGAAUAUUGGUCAAUGGACAAGAGUCUGAACCAGCCAAGUAGCGUGAAGGAUGACUGCCCUAUGGGUUGUAAACUUCUUUUAUACGGGAAUAAAGUGAGGCACGCGUGCCUUUUUGUAUGUACCGUAUGAAUAAGGAUCGGCUAACUCCGUGCCAGCAGCCGCGGUAAUACGGAGGAUCCGAGCGUUAUCCGGAUUUAUUGGGUUUAAAGGGAGCGUAGGCGGACGCUUAAGUCAGUUGUGAAAGUUUGCGGCUCAACCGUAAAAUUGCAGUUGAUACUGGGUGUCUUGAGUAC
rnacentral:rRNA from 1 species